UACGGAGGGGACUAGCGUUGUUCGGAAUUACUGGGCGUAAAGCGCGUGUAGGCGGUUGCCCAAGUCAGGUGUGAAAGCCUUGAGCUCAACUCAAGAAAUGCACUUGGUACUGGGUGGCUAGAGGACCGGAGAGGAUAGUGGAAUUCCCAGUGUAGUGGUGAAAUACGUAGAGAUUGGGAAGAACACCAGUGGCGAAGGCGGCUAUCUGGACGGUUACUGACGCUAAGACUCGAAAGCGUGGGGAGCAAACAGG
rnacentral:rRNA from 1 species